UGAAAGUCGCUGACGUCACUCCCACAAUGCCCCCGCACAAUGGCUCCUGUUCAGAGACUAGGGGGAGACAAGACUUUCGGGCCCUGAAAAAAAAAAUAGAAAAAAAUUUGGAAAAAUUUGGAAAAUCCUGAUCGAAGAGAAAAACGAGUGGAAACGUGAUGUGGGGAAACCCUUUUUAUCCCUGUGACUAAGAGUGGAAAAAAGUUAUAAAUGAGAAAAAGAAAUAAAGGUAAAGCUUCAAAAGGAGGAGGGAGGAAAGUGUUCAAAUGAGUGGAAGGAAAGACGACUUGAACGUGAAGAAACCAUGUCCAUAUUAGUGGCACAGAAAAGGGUUGUGUGACACGGUGGAGCCUGGAUGUUUAUCCGUUUUAGGCAGAGCUGGAUCUUCAUACAUUAAUGCAGUCUAAGCCUGUGCUGCAUCACUCUGAAGGCUGUUUUUCCCUGGUCUUUACUCCAGCUUCUGGUAAGUUGUA